rnacentral:rRNA from 1 species
UACGGAAGGCAGCAGUGGGGAAUAUUGCACAAUGGGCGCAAGCCUGAUGCAGCCAUGCCGCGUGUAUGAAGAAGGCCUUCGGGUUGUAAAGUACUUUCAGCGGGGAGGAAGGCGGUGGAGUUAAUAGCUUCACCGAUUGACGUUACCCGCAGAAGAAGCACCGGCUAACUCCGUGCCAGCAGCCGCGGUAAUACGGAGGGUGCAAGCGUUAAUCGGAAUUACUGGGCGUAAAGCGCACGCAGGCGGUCUGUCAAGUCGGAUGUGAAAUCCCCGGGCUUAACCUGGGAACUGCAUUCGAAACUGGCAGGCUAGAGUCUUGUAGAGGGGGUAGAAUUCCAGGUGUAGCGGUGAAAUGCGUAGAGAUCUGGAGGAAUACCGGUGGCGAAGGCGGCCCCUGGACAAAGCUGACGCUCAGGUGCGAAAGCGUGGGGAGCAAACGAGGAUUAGGAUACC